rnacentral:rRNA from 1 species
UGGAAACGGUAGCUAAUACCGCAUAACGUCGCAAGACCAAAGAGGGGGACCUUCGGGCCUCUUGCCAUCGGAUGUGCCCAGAUGGGAUUAGCUAGUAGGUGGGGUAACGGCUCACCUAGGCGACGAUCCCUAGCUGGUCUGAGAGGAUGACCAGCCACACUGGAACUGAGACACGGUCCAGACUCCUACGGGAGGCAGCAGUGGGGAAUAUUGCACAAUGGGCGCAAGCCUGAUGCAGCCAUGCCGCGUGUAUGAAGAAGGCCUUCGGGUUGUAAAGUACUUUCAGCGGGGAGGAAGGGAGUAAAGUUAAUACCUUUGCUCAUUGACGUUACCCGCAGAAGAAGCACCGGCUAACUCCGUGCCAGCAGCCGCGGUAAUACGGAGGGUGCAAGCGUUAAUCGGAAUUACUGGGCGUAAAGCGCACGCAGGCGGUUUGUUAAGUCAGAUGU